rnacentral:sRNA from 1 species
UUGAUGUUCCUGGAAACUGAGUUCCUUUCCUUAUUUACAGAAUAGAUACAGCACAGGCAGUGGCAGCUGAAGUUUUCCUACACUGCCUUGCCAAUGUGCCUUAUCCCUGAAACAGAGGGACCAUCUGUAAGUGGAAACAGAUUAUUUUCUGUACAUGUUUAGUUACCCAAAGUC